CCUGAUGACCAUAGCAAGUCGGUACCACUCCUUCCCAUCCCGAACAGGACAGUGAAACGACUUCGCGCCGAUGAUAGUGCGGGUUCCCGUGUGAAAGUAGGUCAUCGUCAGGCACCAAUAGCCUCCAAACCCCCCCGUAACCUCACAAACAGGUCACGGGGGGUUUCGGUUUUGGGGGG
rnacentral:rRNA from 1 species